rnacentral:lncRNA from 1 species
UAGACAAUAAAUUUGCGUCGAGAAAAUUUAAUCAAGAUAAAAAAUAUUGCAACAAUUAUAAUAUUUUAUUUAAAAUAUUUGAACGUUACAAUUUCUAUGAUUUCUCUAAUUCUACUUUUCAGUAAUAAAUAAAUUCAAGGGCAUUUGAGCUUGAUCUUGAAAUUGAAUUUGAUUUAUCCGUCAGGGACACUUUGAUUGUUGCCAUGAAUUGUAUCACGAACAAGUAGCAUUGAUCUUGAACGUCUUGUAUUUGAUUUCACUUCGUUCUUGAUCUUGAAUACUUGAAUUGUUCUUCGUUCUUGAGCUUGAACUUGAUUUGUUCUUCAUUCUCGAACUUGAACUUGAUUGCUUGAAGCUUGAAACUUGUGGAGUAAUUUGCAAUGUUUGAUCCGCAAGCGCUUUUUUGCUUCUUG